rnacentral:rRNA from 1 species
AACGAACGCUGGCGGCAUGCCUAACACAUGCAAGUCGAACGAGACCUUCGGGUCUAGUGGCGCACGGGUGCGUAACGCGUGGGAACCUGCCCUUAGGUUCGGAAUAACUCCCCGAAAGGGGUGCUAAUACCGGAUAAUGUCUUCGGACCAAAGAUUUAUCGCCUUUGGAUGGGCCCGCGUUGGAUUAGCUAGUUGGUAGGGUAAAAGCCUACCAAGGCGACGAUCCAUAGCUGGUCUGAGAGGAUGAUCAGCCACACUGGGACUGAGACACGGCCCAGACUCCUACGGGAGGCAGCAGUGGGGAAUAUUGGACAGUGGGCGAAAGCCUGAUCCAGCAAUGCCGCGUGAGUGAUGAAGGCAUUAGGGUUGUAAAGCUCUUUUAACCGGGAUGAUAAUGACAGUACCGGGAGAAUAAGCUCCGGCUAACUCCGUG